ensembl:lncRNA
AAGGAAGAUGCAUUUCAAAUAACGUUUUUAAAAACCUUUCUGCAAAAUCUCUCUCUUUUUUUGCGGGGGCCAUACCCGCAGCACACGGAAGCUCCCAGGCUAGGGGUCGAUUUGGAGCUACAGAUAUGAGGCUCCUCAACAGGCCUCUAGAGUUUAGAAGUUACUGCCUUUAAAAUUUUAAAUGGUUCUGAACAUUCCUUAAAACAACCCAUUUAAUGACAAUGCAAACAUGGUACAUGCUAAAAGGUCGCUCCUAUUAAGUAUACAUUGCAUUCCAAAAACAGAAGCUGUCCUGGGUUUCAGAUUUAUCUUUAAGAUAGAUGUUAAGGCAAGGGAGGAUUACAAUCUCCAACAGGUGGGCCAGACACAGUGGCAUAAGUAAGGAAACUAGCUCCCCCUCGUGUUCAGUUUCUAUAAUGACCGCCUGAGGCUGCAGAGCAAGAAAAGUGUCAAGGUCAGGAAGUUUUGCAAAAUUUCACUUUUCCUGUAAGAAAAACUCUCACAUCCAAAUCGAAAUGACUACAGUGACUAUGGAUCUCCUAGAGGGGAAACUGAACUCAAAGCUUCUACCCCAGAACACUUUAAUCUAUAAAGGCUUUUAAGAUACAGCUCACCCAAGAUUAUAAGGGAAAAAAAACAAAUUGUGGCCAUGAAUUUAUAGUAUUUGUAUAUCUUCCCAGCAACUCAAAAAAAGAACAAGCACGCUAACAAUGCCGGCACCUUACUCCCCUAGAGUUCAACCAAAUCUUUACCUCUCCACGCGGAGGGCUCCAUCCCAAGUCCCAAUGUCACCCAACAAACCUCCCACCUGUGUGACAACCAAGCCCUUCCAGCUCACACAUCCACAGCAGAACUUUUUUUUAAAAUGUUGUUUGUUUUUUAUUUUUUAGAGCCGCUCUUGUGGCAUAUAGAGGUUCCCAGGCUAGGGGUCGAAUCGGAGCUACAGCUGCUGACCUACGCCACAGCCACAGCAACACCAGAUCCCCGACCCCCUGAGCAAGGCCAGGGAUCGAACCCGCAUCCUCAUGGGUACUAGUCGGAUUCGUUUCCGCUGCGUCACAAGGGGAACUCCCUCUCAGCAGAACCUUCUCCCCAAAGUUGCUUCCUCACAAAGGUGCUCCUACUGGCUCCACUUUCUAAAGACAUCCAGAACCUGACAGCCUGUGCCAACCUCACCGGUACCCUUGAUUCAAGCUGCAUUACUGCGAUCCUCUUCUAGCUGGGUUACUCGCUUCCCAUCUUGCUGCAAAGCCACCCCAGACCACCCCGGCCUUCAUUUUCCAUAUGGAAGCCUUGCAAUAAUCCUUUUAGGAGUUCCCACUGUGGUGCAAUGGGAUCGGCAGUGUCUUGGGAGCAUGGGGAUGCAGGUUCUAUCCCCAGCCCGGCACACUGGGUUAAGGAUCCUGUGUUGCUGCAGCAGCAGCUUAGGUCACAACUGCGGCUCGGAUCUGAUCUCUGGCCUGGGAACUCCAAUUGCCAUGAGGCAGCCCCCCCCGCCCCCCGGCCCAAAUUAUUUUUAAUUAAAAAAAUAAUUAUUUUAAAGCACAAGUCAUACCUGAUCACAUUAAAAAGCCAAAAAUCCUUAACACAGGCUCUUCAUGCACUGCCUGAGGCUUCCUGCCCUGCUCUUGCGCUGGCUUCAUUAUUGUUCCUUGAAAUCUCAAGCCUCGG